GGGGUUCUAGCUCAUCGGUAGAGCGCUUGCUUAGCAUGCAAGAGGUACUGGGUUCGAUUCCCAGGUACUCCA
rnacentral:tRNA from 1 species